rnacentral:rRNA from 1 species
UACGUAGGGUGCGAGCGUUAAUCGGAAUUACUGGACGUAAAGCGUGCGUAGGCGGUUCCUCAAGUCCGUUGUGAAAGCCCCGGGCUCAACCUGGGAAUGGCAGUGGAAACUAGGGGACUGGAAUCUGGCAGAGGGGGGUGGAAUUCCGCGUGUAGCAGUGAAAUGCGUAGAGAUGCGGAGGAACACCGAUGGCGAAGGCAGCCCCCUGGGCUAGCACUGACGCUCAGGCACGAAAGCGUGGGGAGCAAACAGG